rnacentral:lncRNA from 1 species
GAAAAGUGAGUUUGAACCCAAUACCUAGGAUACAUGUCAGGAAAAUCUCCUAUCUUUCAAUCCUCGAGGUAAAAAAGUCAAGAAUUCUUCCAGGAGACAUUAUGUGAUUUGUCUUGAAUAAUUAGAAGGGGAGACUUAGUCCAAAUUCGGACAUAAUAUUAGCCAUUGAAGCAAGAAAGCAAGAGCCCUCCCCAAGCAUGGAAAGC